rnacentral:lncRNA from 1 species
GGCUUGUGUAAAGUAACUAUAUGUUUCUUCAUAUUUAAAAAAAAAAGUUUUCAAGUACUUCAUGCUGAGUAACCGGGCCUCUUUGCCUAAGCAAGCAUUGAGUUUCACAUUAAAAGGUAUGAAGGACAAAGAAGCUUUGUUGUAAAGCUAGUUUUAACUCGUAGCCUGUUUGAUUCGAGCAAGUAGGUUCGAGGGAUAUUUUAUAUCUAGUAUCCUAAAGCCAUCUAGUUUGGGAGUCAUUGACUGAAAACUCGCUACAUGGGUCAAACAGAAAGCUUAAGAGGUUAAGACACUCAAUAGCAAUAUAAUAUUUAAAAAUAAUAAUAAUAAAUAAAUAAAGGAUGGAAGUAACAAUAUACUUGUCCACGUGAAGGUGAAUGAUUUGGAGAUAAAGGUAGC